ACCCAGAUGACGAAUCUGAAAUAAGACGAAGUGCGCAUCCUGGAU
rnacentral:hammerhead_ribozyme from 1 species